rnacentral:rRNA from 1 species
UUGUUGCCUUUCUAAUUUAUUCUAAUUCUUUUGUAAUUAGUCUAAUAACAGAGGCUAUUCUUUAAACUAGACGGACCGCUGUUUCUCUUUUAAACCAGAGGAAGGUUGCGGCAAUAACAGGUCUGUGAUGCCCUUAGAUGUUCCGGGCUGCACACGUGCUACAAUGAUCAGUACAGUGAGCAUCUCAAUUUAUUACUAACACCGCUUUAUUAAAGCAUUCAGUGUGUAGUUGUGUAAGCAGCUGCCUCUGAUAUGCGCGGUAACACCUGUCUCGAGAGUCGAUGGGUAAUCCAUUAGAAGUAAUGAUUCCUCUCUUUUAUAUAGCACACUGAUAUACAGCAUCGGUUCCCGAGGUAACCUUGUGUUACUUAUGUGCGAGCGUGAUGUCAGAGCUUAACGUUUAUUAUUCUUUAUGUCUAAUAGAUCUCUGAUUUUACUGUAUGUGCAAUUGUUAAUUCGUGGUGGGGACAGACCAUUGUUAACUAUUGGUCUCGGUCUUAACUAGGAAUGCCUCGUACGGGUCUUGGUUCAACAAACCACCCGGAAUACGUCCCUGCCCUUUGUACACACCGCCCGUCGCUCUUACCGAUGAACUUCUUUGUGAGUCUAAGGGACUGGGUAAUGAUUCAUUCUUUUCUAAAGUUUGAAUUACCUAUAGAAACUUAGCCGAACAAGGUGGUUUAAAG